GACGGAGGAUGCAAGUGUUAUCCGGAAUCACUGGGCGUAAAGCGUCUGUAGGUGGUUUAAUAAGUCAACUGUUAAAUCUUGAGGCUCAACCUCAAAAUCGCAGUCGAAACUAUUAGGCUAGAGUAUAGUAGGGGUAAAGGGAAUUUCCAGUGGAGCGAUGAAAUGCGUAGAGAUUGGAAAGAACACCGAUGGCGAAGGCACUUUACUGGGCUAUUACUAACACUCAGAGACGAAAGCUAGGGUAGCAAAUGGG
rnacentral:rRNA from 1 species